GUCCACGCCGUAACGAUGGCGCUAGGUGUGGGAGCGUAUCCCCGUGCCGCAGCUAACGCAUUAAGCGCCCGCCUGGGAGUACGGCCGCAAGGCUAAACUCAAAGGAAUUGACGGGCCCGCACAAGCAGCGGAGCAUGUGGCUUAAUUCGAAGCAACGCGAAGAACCUUACCAGGGCUUGACAUGCGCAUGAAGCGGCGGAGACGCCGUGGCCGAGAGGAGUGCGCGCAGGUGGUGCAUGGCUGUCGU
rnacentral:rRNA from 1 species